CAAUAUGCUAGACAGGUACCAAGAUGCUAGACAGGUACCAAGAUGCUAGACAGGUACCCAGAUGUGAGACAGGUACCAAGAUGCUAGACAGGUACCAGAUGUGAGACAGGUACCAAGAUGCUAGACAGGUACCAGAUGUGAGACAGGUACCAAGGUGUGAGACAGGUACCAAGAUGCUAGACAGGUACCAGAUGUGAGACAGGUACCAAGAUGCUAGACAGGUACCCAGAUGUGAGACAGGUACCAAGAUGCUAGACAGGUACCAGAUGUGAGACAGGUACCACGAUGCUAGACAUGUACCAGAUGCUAG
ensembl:lncRNA